UACGUAGGGUCCGAGCGUUGUCCGGAGUUACUGGGCGUAAAGCGCGCGCAGGCGGCGGUGUUGGCCCGGCGUGAAAGCCCCCGGCUCAACUGGGGAGGGUCACGCGAUACUGCUCGACUCGAAGGCAGGAGAGGGAAGUGGAAUUCCCGGUGUAGUGGUGAAAUGCGUAGAUAUCGGGAGGAACACCGAUGGCGAAGGCAGCCCCCUGGGUCAAGAUUGACGCUCAUGCACGAAAGCGUGGGGAGCAA
rnacentral:rRNA from 1 species